rnacentral:lncRNA from 1 species
GAAGGGCGUGAGGUUUCAAAGCAGCUGCCCUGCGAGGACAGAAUCACCAUGCCAUUAGGUGUGGGUGUAGGAGUGUGGUCCAAGGACACUUAGAGUGAUUGGCAGAGGCAGAGGCAGAGGCAGAGCAGGAGCCAGCGGGAUAGGAGAGGAGCUGUACAUCUGGAGCCAGAAUGUCCACCAAAGGCAAACACCCACGAGCAGAUCAGGGGACGGACCCUUUUGAAGAAAAGCUACAGAGGCUGAAGGAGGCCUUCAACACAGGGAAGACAAAGACGGCUAAGUUCAGGGCUGAACAACUGCAGAGCCUGGGCCGCUUCCUGCAGGACAAUAGCAAACAGCUUCAUG